GAGGGUAUAGCUCAAGUAGUAGAGCUAAUGCUUAGCAUGUAUGAGGUCCUGGGUUCAAUCCUCAGUACCUCCU
rfam:Camelus ferus unplaced genomic scaffold scaffold1657, whole genome shotgun sequence.